rnacentral:rRNA from 1 species
GGGGAAUAUUGCACAAUGGGCGGAAGCCUGAUGCAGCAACGCCGCGUGCGGGAUGACGGCCUUCGGGUUGUAAACCGCUUUCGCCUGUGACGAAGCGUGAGUGACGGUAAUGGGUAAAGAAGCACCGGCUAACUACGUGCCAGCAGCCGCGGUGAUACGUAGGGUGCGAGCGUUGUCCGGAUUUAUUGGGCGUAAAGGGCUCGUAGGUGGUUGAUCGCGUCGGAAGUGUAAUCUUGGGGCUUAACCCUGAGCGUGCUUUCGAUACGGGUUGACUUGAGGAAGGUAGGGGAGAAUGGAAUUCCUGGUGGAGCGGUGGAAUGCGCAGAUAUCAGGAGGAACACCAGUGGCGAAGGCGGUUCUCUGGGCCUUUCCUGACGCUGAGGAGCGAAAGCGUGGGGAGCGAAC